rnacentral:rRNA from 1 species
AGGCAGCAGCGGGGAAUAUUGCACAAUGGGCGCAAGCCUGAUGCAGCCAUGCCGCGUGUGUGAAGAAGGCCUUCGGGUUGUAAAGCACUUUCAGCGGGGAGGAAGGCGGUGAGGUUAAUAACCUCACCGAUUGACGUUACCCGCAGAAGAAGCACCGGCUAACUCCGUGCCAGCAGCCGCGGUAA